rnacentral:rRNA from 1 species
GACGAACGCUGGCGGCGUGCUUAACACAUGCAAGUCGAACGGAAAGGCUCCAGCUUGCUGGAGUCCUCGAGUGGCGAACGGGUGAGUAACACGUGGGUAAUCUGCCCUGCACUCUGGGAUAAGCCUGGGAAACUGGGUCUAAUACUGGAUAUGACCUUUCUCCUUAUGGGGUUUGGUGGAAAGUUUUUCGGUGUAGGAUGAGCCCGCGGCCUAUCAGCUUGUUGGUGGGGUGAUGGCCUACCAAGGCGACGACGGGUAGCCGGCCUGAGAGGGUGAUCGGCCACAUUGGGACUGAGAUACGGCCCAGACUCCUACGGGAGGCAGCAGUGGGGAAUAUUGCACAAUGGGCGGAAGCCUGAUGCAGCGACGCCGCGUGAGGGACGACGGCCUUCGGGUUGUAAACCUCUUUCAGCAGGGACGAAGCGUAAGUGACGGUACCUGCAGAAGAAGCACCGGCUAACUAUGUG